rnacentral:rRNA from 1 species
GACAGAGGGUGCAAACGUUGUUCGGAAUUACUGGGCGUAAAGCGCGUGUAGGCGGCUAUGCAAGUCGGGCGUGAAAUCCCACGGCUCAACCGUGGAAGUGCACUCGAAACUGCGUAGCUAGAGUCCCGGAGAGGAAGGUGGAAUACUUGGUGUAGAGGUGAAAUUCGUAGAUAUCAAGUGGAACACCGGUAGCGAAGGCGGCCUUCUGGACGGUGACUGACGCUGAGACGCGAAAGCUAGGGGAGCAAACGGG